rnacentral:rRNA from 1 species
AUACGGAGGGGGUUAGCGUUGUUCGGAAUUACUGGGCGUAAAGCGCACGUAGGCGGACUGGAAAGUUGGGGGUGAAAUCCCGGGGCUCAACCCCGGAACUGCCUCCAAAACUUCCAAUCUAGAGAUCGAGAGAGGUGAGUGGAAUUCCAAGUGUAGAGGUGAAAUUCGUAGAUAUUUGGAGGAACACCAGUGGCGAAGGCGGCUCACUGGCUCGAUACUGACGCUGAGGUGCGAAAGCGUGGGGAGCAAACAGGAUUAGAAACCCGUGUAGUCC